rnacentral:rRNA from 1 species
UGCCUCAGUAACGGCGAGUGAAGCGGCAAAAGCUCAGAUUUGAAAUCUGGUAUCAUUUUGGUGCCCGAGUUGUAAUCUGUAGAGGAGUAUUCGAGUGUAGCUUUGGCUUAAGUUCCUUGGAACAGGGCGUCAUAGAGGGUGAGAACCCCGUUAACGGCCUCAGUCUUAUGCUCAUGUGAAUCUUCUUCAACGAGUCGAAUUGUUUGGGAAUGCAGUUCUAAAUGGGUGGUAAAUUCCAUCUAAAGCUAAAUACUGGCAAGAGACCGAUAGCGCACAAGUAGAGUGAUCGAAAGAUGAAAAGAACUCUGAACAGAGAGUUAAACAGUACGUGAAAUUGUUGAAAGGGAAGCACUUGCUACCAGACGCACUUGCAGUCGAUCAACCUCCAUUUUUUGGUGGUGCACUCGGUUGUAGGUGGGCCAGCAUCAGUUACUAGCGGUGGGAUAAAGACCUUGGGAAUGUGGCUUCCUUCGGGGAGUGUUAUAGCCCUUGGUGUAAUACCAUCUGUUGUGACUGAGGACCGCGCUUUUGUGAGGAUGCUGGCAUAAUGGUCGUAAGUGACCCGUCUUGAAACACGGACCAAGGAGUCUAACAUCUAUGCGAGUGUUUGGGUGUUAAAACCCUUACGCGAAAUGAAAGUGAAUGGAGGUGGGAACCGCAAGGUGCACCAUCGACCGAUCCGGAUGUCUUCGGAAGGAUUUGAGUAGGAGCAUAGCUGUUGGGACCCGAAAGAUGGUGAACUAUGCCUGAAUAGGGUGAAGCCAGAGGAAACUCUGGUGGAGGCUCGCAGCGGUUCUGACGUGCAAAUCGAUCGUCAAAUUUGGGUAUAGGGGCGAAAGACUAAUCGAACCAUCUAGUAGCUGGUUCCGGC